rnacentral:rRNA from 1 species
AGUGAACGCUGGCGGUAGGCCUAACACAUGCAAGUCGAACGGCAGCACAGUAAGAGCUUGCUCUUACGGGUGGCGAGUGGCGGACGGGUGAGGAAUACAUCGGAAUCUACUUUUUCGUGGGGGAUAACGUAGGGAAACUUACGCUAAUACCGCAUACGACCUACGGGUGAAAGCAGGGGAUCUUCGGACCUUGCGCGAUUGAAUGAGCCGAUGUCGGAUUAGCUAGUUGGCGGGGUAAAGGCCCACCAAGGCGACGAUCCGUAGCUGGUCUGAGAGGAUGAUCAGCCACACUGGAACUGAGACACGGUCCAGACUCCUACGGGAGGCAGCAGUGGGGAAUAUUGGACAAUGGGCGCAAGCCUGAUCCAGCCAUACCGCGUGAGUGAAGAAGGCCUUCGGGUUGUAAAGCCCUUUUGUUGGGAAAGAAAAUCAGCAUGUUAAUACCCCGCUGUUCUGACGGUACCCAAAGAAUAAGCACCGGCUAACUUCGUG